CCUACGGGGGGCUGCAGUGGGGAAUAUUGGACAAUGGGGGCAACCCUGAUCCAGCCAUGCCGCGUGUGUGAAGAAGGCCCUCGGGUUGUAAAGCACUUUCAGUGAGGAAGAACGCCUGGUGGUUAAUACCCAUCAGGAAAGACAUCACUCACAGAAGAAGCACCGGCUAACUCCGUGCCAGCAGCCGCGGUAAUACGGAGGGUGCGAGCGUUAAUCGGAAUUACUGGGCGUAAAGCGCGCGUAGGUGGCUUGAUAAGCCGGUUGUGAAAGCCCCGGGCUCAACCUGGGAACGGCAUCCGGAACUGUCAAGCUAGAGUGCAGAAGAGGAAGGUAGAAUUCCCGGUGUAGCGGUGAAAUGCGUAGAGAUCGGGAGGAAUACCAGUGGCGAAGGCGGCCUUCUGGACUGACACUGACACUGAGGUGCGAAAGCGUGGGUAGCAAACAGGAUUAGAUACCCCUGUAGUC
rnacentral:rRNA from 1 species